rnacentral:ribozyme from 1 species
GCCUUAAUGCAGCUCCCCACAGGGAACGGUCGCCAGCCCGUGAAAAUGCAGAGCGAGGC